rnacentral:rRNA from 1 species
AGGGUUCGAUUCUGGCUCAGGAUGAACGCUGGCGGCGUGCUUAACACAUGCAAGUCGAACGGGAUCCAUCAGGCUUUGCUUGGUGGUGAGAGUGGCGAACGGGUGAGUAAUGCGUGACCGACCUGCCCCAUACACCGGAAUAGCUCCUGGAAACGGGUGGUAAUGCCGGAUGCUCCAGUUGAUCGCAUGGUCUUCUGGGAAAGCUUUCGCGGUAUGGGAUGGGGUCGCGUCCUAUCAGCUUGACGGCGGGGUAACGGCCCACCGUGGCUUCGACGGGUAGCCGGCCUGAGAGGGCGACCGGCCACAUUGGGACUGAGAUACGGCCCAGACUCCUACGGGAGGCAGCAGUGGGGAAUAUUGCACAAUGGGCGCAAGCCUGAUGCAGCGACGCCGCGUGAGGGAUGGAGGCCUUCGGGUUGUAAACCUCUUUUAUCGGGGAGCAAGCGUGAGUGAGUUUACCCGUUGAAUAAGCACCGGCUAACUACGUGCCAGCAGCCGCGGUAAUACGUAGGGUGCAAGCGUUAUCCGGAAUUAUUGGGCGUAAAGGGCUCGUAGGCGGUUCGUCGCGUCCGGUGUGAAAGUCCAUCGCUUAACGGUGGAUCCGCGCCGGGUACGGGCGGGCUUGAGUGCGGUAGGGGAGACUGGAAUUCCCGGUGUAACGGUGGAAUGUGUAGAUAUCGGGAAGAACACCAAUGGCGAAGGCAGGUCUCUGGGCCGUUACUGACGCUGAGGAGCGAAAGCGUGGGGAGCGAACAGGAUUAGAUACCCUGGUAGUCCACGCCGUAAACGGUGGAUGCUGGAUGUGGGGCCCGUUCCACGGGUUCCGUGUCGGAGCUAACGCGUUAAGCAUCCCGCCUGGGGAGUACGGCCGCAAGGCUAAAACUCAAAGAAAUUGACGGGGGCCCGCACAAGCGGCGGAGCAUGCGGAUUAAUUCGAUGCAACGCGAAGAACCUUACCUGGGCUUGACAUGUUCCCGACGGUCGUAGAGAUACGGCUUCCCUUCGGGGCGGGUUCACAGGUGGUGCAUGGUCGUCGUCAGCUCGUGUCGUGAGAUGUUGGGUUAAGUCCCGCAACGAGCGCAACCCU